AUUGAACGCUGGCGGCAUGCCUUACACAUGCAAGUCGAACGGUAACAGGUCUUCGGAUGCUGACGAGUGGCGAACGGGUGAGUAAUACAUCGGAACGUGCCCGAUCGUGGGGGAUAACGGAGCGAAAGCUUUGCUAAUACCGCAUACGAUCUACGGAUGAAAGCAGGGGACCGCAAGGCCUUGCGCGGACGGAGCGGCCGAUGGCAGAUUAGGUAGUUGGUGGGAUAAAAGCUUACCAAGCCGACGAUCUGUAGCUGGUCUGAGAGGACGACCAGCCACACUGGGACUGAGACACGGCCCAGACUCCUACGGGAGGCAGCAGUGGGGAAUUUUGGACAAUGGGCGCAAGCCUGAUCCAGCAAUGCCGCGUGCAGGAUGAAGGCCUUCGGGUUGUAAACGUGCUUUUGUACGGUAACGAAACGGUAGAGCUCUAAUAAAGACUUGCUAAUGACGGUACCGUAAGAAUAAGACACCGGCUAACUACGUAGCCAGCAGCCGAC
rnacentral:rRNA from 1 species